GGCCUUCCAGACCAGUGGCUCUCUCUGAGGACCCAGCAUCAGUGAUCCUCCAGCGGGCUGCAAGAUAACUUCAAAUUAACUUGAAUAUAACCAUAUAAUCAUUACUUUUAUGAUUAAUAUGUUAAAAUAAAUUGCUUCGGAUCAGCCCAAGCUAUUUCUCAUCGCGAAAUACCCAACCGUUGCAGGAGUAUUUAAUACGCAAACUACAGCUCUCAUUUGGAUAAAGCAAACCAGAGUCACUGAUGAUGUUUAGAUAGAUGAUGACAGUAAGGUAAAGACCAUAACAGUGACAUACAGGAGCCGUACAUUAUGUCCAAACCGUGUAUGUGCGCUCUCCGUGCACUGAUCACUAUAACAUCAUAUUUCUGCAUGAUCCCAGUUCAAUAUAUUCAUGUAAAUGUCAAAAUAUAGUACUAUGCAUGUUUUAUAAUGGAUACUCCCCCCGAAGAAGCAUGUUUUCAAGGAGUUUGCGAGGAUCGGUGGUGUUAAUGUACAUAUGGGCAUCAGUCCUCAAUGGUCAUCGAGUUUCCACAGAUUCACAAUGGUUUUAUUUUUCAUAUAAAAUGUACAUUUAGAAAGCAUUUUGGUGUAUUCUAUUGGUUGUAUUAGAUUUUGCUUUAUUUCACAUCACAGCUAUUCAUGCUCUAUUGCCCUGUUUCACAGACAAGGCUUACGGCUAGUCCCAGACUAAAAUUAAUGUUUGAGUCUCAACUGACAAUAACUUGCCCUCACAUAUCUUUAAAGGUGUCAGUGCCAUUGUUUUGUCUCAAGACGCACACCAGUAAUGUUUUUUUCUAAUGCAUUUUUAUAAAAGCGCAUUAAAUAUCCUAAUUUAACUAAGGCAUAUGUCACGGGGUGACGAAAGAGAAGCGGAACUAAGUCCCGUUGGAAUUGUGUUCCCCCCGGGACGGUGUCGCGGUAACACCGGUCCACUUCCGGGUUGCGCCCGAUGUCACAAUAACAACGCUAAUGAUAGAUUGACAUCUGGUGUGGGGAGUUUGACGUGGCGAUCUGUGAGAGGAUUAUGGAGGCGGAGUAACCACAUAAAAAGAGAAGUGCAGAGACCAAAAGGGAGGGGAAUUUCUGGGACGUUUGGGCUGGCGUGUGGAGGUAUUCGAGGACUAUUGUGGGGUUUCGGCUAUCUGGCUGUGCAACAGUUAUAUCAGCGAUCGAGUGGAGAUAUUCGGGACAGAAAGAGUGUGAGUUCUGGAAAGCAAGUGGAGACCAGGCCGCGCCAUCACUAUCGGAGGGAAGUUAAGAGACCUGAUCUGGGACUUCGAUCAAUUGUAUACAUCUGGACUGGGAGUGAUAACGUGGUGAAGUGGACGGAGCCAUCGUUGGAUCGCAGGAUCCUCUGGGCUGAACGCCGCAUGUGA
ensembl:lncRNA